rnacentral:lncRNA from 1 species
GGGUGCCGAAGGACUCAUUCAACAAUUGAAUCAUCUCCUUAGAUUGUGCAUCCUCAAACUUAUGGCUAAGUUCAUCAUUUAUGGCUACCCUCAUGAUGCAACGCACCAUAGUGUGAUCACUGAGCCACUUCAUAUAAGUAUCUUUCGCAGCACGGGGUGCAUUGGCAGCAGGUUCUUUGGGUGCGAGAUCUGUAAGCACGUAUAAGAUCCUUUCGUGCUUCAGGAUGAUCUUAAG